rnacentral:lncRNA from 1 species
GCAUUCAAACUUUUUACAAACUUUUUUUUUCAUGAUAAAUGAUUUAAUUGAAAAAUAAUUUCUCCCUAGCAACCAUCUAUACAGUUGUAUGCCUUAGCAACCAAAUCAGUUCCUUAACAACUAUAUUAAAAAGAAUGUUUUUGUUUUGGAAGAAAAUAGUAAUGUAUUGCAAAAAAAAUAAUACAUUUGCCUAAGAUCUACAUUAAAACAUAGCAACCUGUUUUUUGUAUACAUAAGCUACAACAUUAAAAAAUUUGUGUCCAUAACAGUGGUUACAUAAGAUCUCAGCUGCUUCAGAUCAAAAUCAAGACAUCUGUUAACCUUCCCUAUAUUUCCCAUGCACAUUCAAGAACUUUAUGACUUAAAAUAAGAACCACAUAAAAAGCCAAAACUCGUCUUUUAAUCUGUAUUUGAAAGUUUUAAAUUCAAUCAAAAUCUUAUACAUGUACAUUUUUUAACUGCACUUGCAUAUGUUGGAGUUUUAUCAACAAAUGUGUAUAGAGCAUAACACUGAGAAGAAGUGUUUGGACUUUCAAAAAAAUUAGUUAGAAACUUUCAAAUGCAUUAGCGAUUGCAAUCAAAAUUAUUGUUCUAAU